UCUCUCUCUCUCUCUCUCUCUCUCUCUCUCCCUCUCUCUCUUCCUUUCUCUGUCUCUACUCCCUCAAUUCCCCUUCCCAUAACCUGAAUAUAUGUGGCUGGUCCCUCAGGAGUAAAGGGUGCCUCAGCAUGGGCCCACAAAGGCAGCCCCUUCCCCCACACCUGACUAUACAUCCACCAUACAUAUUCUUUCUUUUUUUUUUUUUUAGUUUUAUAAAACACAACACACUGCAUUCUUCACAUAUAAUCCUUGUGUUGUCUUGAAUCUUAAAGAACAGACUUCCUUACCUGCUCUGUUCAGCUUUCCAGUUGCCACUGUCCCUUUGAAGGGACAAAGCAUACUUUCUCUAGGCUAUCAAUGAGGUAUGGUCAACAACUUUUUUUUUAAUUAGGUAUUUUCCUCGUUUACAUUUUCAAUGCUAUCCCAAAGGUCCCCCAUACCCACCCACCCCCAAUCCCCUACCCACCCACUCCCCCUUUUUGGCCCUGGCAUUCCCCUGUACUGGGACAUAUAAAGUUUGCAAGUCCAAUGGGCCUCUCUUUGCAGUGAUGGCCGACUAGGCCAUCUUUUGAUACAUCAAGAGCUCCGGGGUACUGGUUAGUUCAUAUUGUUGUUCCACCUAUAGGGUUGCAGAUCCCUUCAGCUCCUUGGGUAAUUUCUCUAGCUCCUCCAUUGGGGGCCGUGUGACCCAUCCAAUAGCUGACUGUGAUCAUCCACUUCUGUGUUUGCUAGGCUCCGGCAUAGUCUCACAAGAGAGAGCUAUAUCUGGGUCCUUUGGCCAACAACUUUAAAUGGUGUCUCUUUGCAUAUAUACACAUGAAAAAUCAGGGUCUUUCUAUGGCGGCCCACUGACCAGAAAAAUCACAAUGUAGCCAAAGAUUACAUUGAAUUUGCUAUAAUCCUGCAUUUGUCUCCUGAGUAUUAGGAUUACAAGCUCUAGCUACCAUGACUACCUCUUAAUGGUGUUUAACUUUCUCCAGACUCAUCCUCUUCCAAAGACAUUCUCCUCACCAACUAAGUAUAUAGAAAGAGUGCCUGCCAGAGUGGUUGCCAGCUACAGAAAUGGACAAUGCCUUCCUCUGCAGAGUGUUCAGGAGGACUUCCAAACAAUACUUGAGCUGGUGGGUCUGUUUCAAACAAGGGUGCAAGCUCUUAGGGAACUUUACAGAGGAGGCCUCACUGACUGAGAAGGUGGUAGACAGGAACCCAAGAGAGAGGUUACCACUCAUAAAUGAGGUCACCUGGAUUCACAGGAAUGUGGUUGGUGAACAUACAAACGGAGAUGAGAAAAAAAAUUAAUUCGCAGAAAACAUAGGUCAAAAAGGAGGGAGUAGGGCCCAUUAUUCUGCUUUGGGGAAGCUACUUCUGAAGGCUGUGGCCCUGCUUAGAAACACAGCCAGAACUGGAAACUUCAGACCUUAAACAAGUAAAGAAUUAGAAAGCAGCUUAAAGCAGCUUCUAGGCCACAGGUAAGGAAAGAGAACUUUGAACUUUGGACUACUGAGUAAACACCAGGUUGAACAAGCACAAUAGGGACAUCAGGUUAGCUAUUAAUUUAUUAGCAAACCACCGAAUAAGAAACAGAGGGCAUAGUCGAAUUCUUUGUUUGGUUUUUUAAUUUUUUUUUUUUUGGUUUUGGUUUUUAUGCCAUGCUGGGCGUGGUAAAUGCAAGGAAAGGUCUCUUUCACCAAGCUUCAUUCCAGGUCUUCGCGGGCUUUUGUGUCUUUACAAGGUACGUUACAAGUUAAAUGACAAAUGUGAAGCUGUUCCAAGUGACAAAAGUCACAGUACUAAUCACAACUUUGCUCAAAUGAUAUUUGUUCCCGGACACUCUUGAAAUCUAUAGCUAUUUCGAUCCACCUCAUCUUUAAGUGGUAACUAAAUAUAAUAUAUAGAAAAUUGUGUGCUUGAAAAGCUGACCUUUAGCUCCUUCUUUGACUAAAUUUUCCAGAGGUAUAACAUUAAUGUAGUAAAAUGUUUAUGUGACACAUAAAUGUUCUCACAUGAAUUAUAAAAGUUGGCAUAAGUCUUUAGCACUUAUAAAAUGGCUUGAUAUAAUGAUAACCCAUGUCAGGCAUGUGGCUUCUGCCUUCAGUCCCAACAGUUGGGAGGCUGAAGCAGAUCUCUAUGAGUUUAAGGUUAGCCUGGUCUACACAGCAAGUUCCAGACAAGUGAGGGCUACACAGAAAGAAAAUGUUUG
rnacentral:lncRNA from 1 species